GGAAGCGCGCGGAGGCCGGUGCCUCCCGCGGUCUUCAAAACCGUCGUCCGGCGCCCCUGGUGGCGGCGGAGGUGGGUUCGAUUCCCAUGCGCUUCCGCCA
rnacentral:tRNA from 1 species